CCAAUAUAUUGUCAUAUAAAGUGUAGGACUAAUGUGUAGAUACCCAAAAGGGUAACCUUAGUUAAUGAUAGGCUAACUAAGGUUACAUACAUGUAACCAUGGUUACAUGCUUAUGACUUUUGAGUUUCAUAACUCAUAUGUUAAAAGAGGGGGGUUAUGGUUCCCAUAAGAAUGCAAGACAUUCUCUUCUUCCUCCCAUUGAAACUAGACAGCAUUUUGGUCUUGCAUAUCAAGUGGAAAACCAAUCCUCAAUUUUUGGUCUUUGAUAUAUUCUUGUGAAAGCAAAAACUUCAAGACAAUCUUAAAGGAAUGAUCAAGGAGCUUCUCAAAGGCACACCUUGGACAAUCUUCAAGAAGGACUAAAGAUUUUCACUUAUGGAUUUAGGUACGCUUCCGCUUAUGUUGUUAUUCCAAGUAAUUCGAUAUGAAGGCUAAAGUGUUUUAUUUGGAUUCAUUCCAAA
rnacentral:lncRNA from 1 species